rnacentral:rRNA from 1 species
UACGUAGGGUGCGAGCGUUAAUCGGAAUUACUGGGCGUAAAGGGUGCGCAGGCGGUUUUGUAAGACAGAUGUGAAAUCCCCGGGCUUAACCUGGGAACUGCGUUUGUGACUGCAAGACUUGAGUGUGGCAGAGGGGGGUGGAAUUCCACGUGUAGCAGUGAAAUGCGUAGAGAUGUGGAGGAACACCGAUGGCGAAGGCAGCCCCUCGGGUCGAAC